CGAAACUAUCCUAUUCUGUUUCAAGCCAAACCAAAUCUUCUCAUUUCAAAAAAAAAAAUUGAAUCUGGAAACCUUGAAGAGAGGUUCAAAAUUGAAUCCAAACCUUGAAGAGGUGUUCAGGCAAAUUCAGAUUCACCCUUUUGACAAAUCAUAAAAAGGCAAAUCUAGACCAACUAGAACUGAAACCAGCCUCAAGGUCGGAUCGAAUCGCAGUACUACAAUUAUUAGCCAGAUUUUGGAAGGACUCAAAAUGGCAAUAACCGACCAUUCUUGGCAUUGAGCCUACUUUGCCUUAAACUGAGAGAUCUCGUACAAUCACAGCCUAGUUGGCUUAUUGUUCUUGUAGGUUUCAUUCUAUAAUCUUUAAAAUAAUAGAUUUAUGGAGGGAAAAAUAAAAAGAUACGUUUUAAUCAUACCAUGAUACCUUAGAAAGUCUAAAUAUUAAAUCACUCAGAUUCCAACCAAAAGAAAAAGAAAUCAUGAAAGAGUACAGAAAGUACAAAGGAUUAACUUCAAUGCACAUCCUAACAUGAUUUUAGAAGGGAAAAAGAUCCUAUAAAGUACAUCCCUUCAUGGUGCUUAUUCAUAGUGAUAUCCUCACUUAUCUCCCAUAAUUUAAUUAGGCCUGCCUUGCGCACUCAUGCAAUCCCCAGCAGUUUCUUCACAUCCUUCUCGAUGCUGAGAGGGGACGUAGUGGGGGCAUAACGGUCAACAACAUUGCCAUCUUUAUCAACCAGAAACUUGGAAAAAUUCCACUUGAUGUUGUCCCCAAAAAUUCCACCUUUGCUAGACUUCAAGAAUUUGUAAAGAGGAGCAGCAUUGUUUCCAUUCACAUCAACCUACAAAGAGUAGCAACUCAGAAUUAACCAAAAUAUUGACAUGAUUGCCAAGCUAUAUGAAGAUAUUUUUAAGUUCAAGAUAUAAAGCGCAAGUACAUGGAACCACAAGACAAUUUGGAAAGUAUAAUUAAUUAUAAUGCCAUAAAAUUGUGGAGCAAUUCAGAUUUCAGGUAUUACCUUGUCAAAUAUUGGAUACUCAGCCUUGAAACGAGUACAAGCAAACUCCACAAUCUGUUCAUUGGUACCUGGCUCCUGAGAUCCAAACUGAUUACAGGGGAAAGCCAGAAUCUCCAAGCCUGUAUAAGUACAAAAGCAAGUAAUAACAUACAAGAGGGUUCAUAACAGCAAAUGAAAAUUGGUCAGGGAUGAUUGACCAUGCUCAAGCAAUUUCAUAUAUCCCCAUCGAACAAUACGAAGAACCAUUAAGAAGUCAAAAGGAUAGUACACUAUCCCAGAACAAAUGUUAGAUCAUGAUGAAUAUAGUAUGCCUGCUUAUAAACAUUAAAAACACUACACAUGAGAAGUAUUAAAACAAACCUUGAUCCUUAUAUUUCUGGUAUAACUGAGUCAGCUCAGUGUAGUUCGAAUUUGUCAAGCCACUGCAUCAACAGAAUAGAUAAAUAUAAUCAGAGUCAUAAUCACAAACAUGAGCAGUAGAAAAGGAUCCUUCAGCCAUUACAAAGGCGUAUGCCACUUCCCAAUUAGAGAAUUCGUUUUUUCAUCAAAACGAAUCACUGGAGAUUGCAUUCCACUGCCUCGCAUGACGUUGAUUUUAAUUAUCAGUGAAUGAAAUUCAGUUAAAACAGGUGAAGCAAGGAAUAUUACUUUAGAUGAGAAAGAAACACCUCAAUCUCUUUCCUUCAGGCACACACCCACACAAAAAGACAAGCAAAAAUAAAGGGAGGAAAUGAAUACCAUUGUGAAGCAACAUUAACAAUCAAGAGAACCUUCCCCUUGUAAGUGCUGAGAUCAACAUCGUUUCCCCUAGCAUCCUUAACAGUGAAGUCAUAGACUGAUUUAGGUUCGGAUUGGCUAGCCAUGGUAUGAUCAAAUCUCAAAGAACACAACGCAGGCCUUGAAUCUCCUGUUGUGAUGGACUGAGAAACCAAAGGAACCGAUAAAUUGCGAAGAAAACGCAAAAGGGUUUGAUCGAAAUUGAAAGAUGAUUGCUUUUCCAAAAGAAGAAAAGCAGAUGAGGAUGCUACGCUGAGACUUCUUAGAGAGAGGAUGCGAGUUGAAGAACGAAGCAUUGAGAAUAAAAAGCAGAGAAGGCCCCACUAUAUAAAGAAAUACAGUAAUUGGUGAAUCCAGAACUUGGAUGUGAACGAGUAGCUGUCGUGUGUACAGAAAUUGUGUAGAUGAUAAAAUCUACGCGUAGUGAAAGCAGAUGGGCACACGUGGGUUAAACGUGUCCGAUCGCUGCAUCGAGGAUGGACUAAUCGCUUCCGUCAUCCGCCCAUACCUUCUCUUAAA
rnacentral:misc_RNA from 1 species